rnacentral:rRNA from 1 species
AAUCAACGCUGGCGGCGUGCCUCAGACAUGCAAGUCGAACGAGAAAGUCCCCUUCGGGGGGUGAGUAAAGUGGCGCACGGGUGAGUAACACGUAGGUAAUCUACCUUCGGGUGGGGAAUAACCCAGGGAAACUUGGGCUAACACCGCAUAAUGCAGCGGCACCACAUGGUGACAGUUGUUAAAGCGGGGGAUUUUAGGACCUCGCGCCUGAAGAGGAGCCUGCGGCGGAUUAGCUAGUUGGUAGGGAACGGCUUACCAAGGCGACGAUCCGUAACCGGCCUGAGAGGGCGGUCGGUCACACUGACACUGACAUACGGGUCAGACUCCUACGGGAGGCAGCAGUCGGGAAUUUUGGGCAAUGGGCGAAAGCCUGACCCAGCAACGCCGCGUGAAGGAUG